AACCCAUGGUGAGGGCACCUUCUCAAUAGAUCCUUGUAUCUCUCCCAUGCAUCGUAAAGUGUUUCUAAUUCCAUCUGCACAAAAGAAGAGAUAUCAUUGCGCAAUUU
rfam:Gossypium arboreum cultivar AKA8401 contig_84657_3, whole genome shotgun sequence.